rnacentral:lncRNA from 1 species
UCGAAAUUGAAAUGCGCAUUGGUGGUGGUAUACGAUAUUAUAAACAUUAGUAUAUUUUACUAAUUAAUUAACUGCCUCGCUCGUUUUCUUCAAUAAACUCAAGUCAAUUCUCCCGAAUUAAUCAUCUCGCGAACCUCGACUAGAUAUAUAUCCCCGUUUCACUAUGAUAAUUCAACGUAUAUACGUCCCCAAAUUAAACAAAAUAAAUAAAUAAAUAAAUAAACAUUCAAGAAGUAUGAUUAUAAUUAUUACCUAAUCGUUGAAGUUUACCUUGAUUAAUCUUUUAAUCCGAUCGAUGGAAAAGAUACUGGAUUUUUGGUUGUUUAAUCUAUUUUGCCUUGCAAUUAAUAUAAACACAAUCCAUAUAUUCCAUAUAUGCUUUACAAAUUGAUUGCAAGCUAAUUGACACUCAUUGGUCUUUGAUCUCCCUUUGGUUCACCAAAGACCAAAUCAGAAAGUAACUGAAACUAAUUAAGCACCCACAAACCAUAUACUGAUCAUCAGACGUCAAACCCUGUCUAUAUCUUUGUACUUGUUUUAUUCACGGAAUCACGGAAAUUAACUAAGACCAUGAGCAUCCUUGGCUUUCCAAAGGCAUGCACGCACGUAAUAUUCAUUCUUGAUCUUCACAUAAUCGAGGUUGUUGUAGUACUCCUCCGAUGAGCGACGGAGGAGGGCGAUGAAGAGGUUGAGAAUCCAUGGUCUGGCCGGAGCAUAUGAAAGUUGGUUGCUUGAAAUCGCCCUGAUUCGCCGGUGGGAAGCCUGACAUAGGAGGAUGACGGCGAGUCGGUAAGCGCCGACCGGAGUAAACUCUGCCCGGUGCUGUUCCUUUGUUGCAUGAUGGCCCUGUAAACGAAGGGAAUUAAUCCUUCCAUCUGAGAGAGAGAGAGAGAGAGAGAGAGAGAGAGAGAGAGAGAGAGAGAGAGAGAUGGUCUGGUUAGGGUUGGGUUGAGGAUGGUGGGGGUGGAGUAGUUGGUGUCGUUUAUAGGGGUAGAUGAUGAGGACGUGGCGUAAUCGUGUUGAGCAGAAGGCUUUCUACGCCAUGCCAGGUGGCACGCCGAAAAGGACUUCACCGGAGAAACCCACACGCAGAAUCGGAAAACGAUGUCCUGGCCUGGUUUGCUUGCUGAAAGCAAUGGUGAAACUAAC